GAAAGCAUAGCAGUAGUGGUGGUGGUAACUGAGCCACCAAGAGCCCAACCAGGUGUCAACAGAUGAUGGGGCUAGGUGAAAGAAAAGGGGCGGGGCAUCGAGAUGAGCACCGAGUCCUGGGGCGGGUCUCCUUGGUCCCGCCCUCUGUGAUGUCAGGACGUGUCUGUGUGCGUGCGUGGGCAGAAGGCGGGGGCGUGAUCCAGUGGAGGCGGCCAGUUCUGCGGGUCCAGGAGCAGCUAGGGAAGGCGAGUCGGAGCACCGGGCUGAGUGACCUCUGGAGGAAUCUCCUCAGCCCGUUGUGCCCCCGCCUGUCCCCGUCGUGGGACCACCUUCCUCUCGACCCAGUGAAAUGAAGUAAUCAAAACCAUCCGUGUUUAAUGCUGAUUUCAGAAAUACCUGAGUCUAUAUUCAUGAGACACUGAAAUGAUAAAGGCAAUCUUCACACAGCGCCGGAGGAGGAUCCAUACUGAGAAUCAAACAUCAUCAGUAAUCAUCACGGGCAUGUUCAAUGUUCAGCUUGACUGCGUGAUCUCCCGGGAUAAACAGCAGCAGCAGAAGCUUGUUCCAGCUCCCUCUUAAAGCCCCAGGAACAAAGGUGGCUCAUUGCUGAGAUUCAUGGCAAUCAGUGCGUCCCUUCCUGGACCCUGGCCAGAGGGCCGAGAUGGCAGGCACGUUUCAAGAUGUUCCUCAGACUUCUGCCCAAGGACAUGGUAUGCUCUGCCUUGUUCUCCUCCCAGGAACUGGCCAGGUUCCAGGGAACAGAAGAAGGUCACUCAGUGACAAGUUGCUUACUAGAGCCAAGCCUGAACACAAGCCUCCCCAUCCUAAAGAUCUAUCCUUAUACCUUUUCAGUUUAUUUUUUAAGAUUUAUUUAUUUAUUUGAAAGAGCUAUGCAGAGACGGGGAGAGAGAGAGAGGUUUUUGAUCCACUGGUUCACUCCCCAGUUAGCCACAAUGGGCAGAGCUACUCCAAUCUGAAGCUAGGAGCUAGGAGCUUCUUCCGGGCCUCCCACGCGGGUGCAGGGCCCCAAAGCCUUGGGCCAUCUUCUACUGCUUUCCCAGGCCAUAGCAGAGAGCUGGAUAAGAAUUGGAGCAGCAGGAAGUCGAACUAGCGCCUAUAUGGGAUGCCAGCACUGCAGGAGGGAGCCUUAUCCGCUACACCACAGCGCUGGCCCCAACGUUUCAGUUUUUGAAUCACCAAUGUAUAUAAAGCUCUUAAGUAUGCCUAGGUAUUCUACAAAGCACCCAGCUUGCAUAAAACCGUUGAAAGCAUUCUCUUUAAACUUGCAAAUGGUACAAAUUAUAAAAACUGGUUGAUAAAUUAUUUCAAUGUUUAAUACAAAAAUGGCAUGAUAAGCUCCUUUCAUUAAAACCAUUAUUUUUGCCCUAAUUAAAAACUCUUUUUUAGGGUAAGCAAUACAUACACAUGGGUAUUUAAAUAUAAAAGAUAUACAAGGGUGUGCCAAUGGCAGCAAGUCAUUUUCACACACUAUCUCUCAACCCACCAUUGUCCCUCUUCAGAGAAACAGUUAUCAGUUUUGGAAAUACAGCAUUAUUUAAUCAACUCAAGAUUAUGCCAGGCUUUCUUGAACCUUUGUUAGAGGCCAGGCUUAUUUAAGCACUGGGGACACAGUAAAGAAAUGAAUAUGCAAAAGUAUGUCUUCUGGGGCCAGCACUGUCGUGUAAUAACAGGUUAAAUCCUUGGCCUGCAGUGCUGGCAUCCCGUAUAGGUGUGGUUUUGAGUCCAGGCUGCUCCACUUCCAAUCCAGCGCCCUGCUGAUGUGCCUGGGAAAGCAGUGAAGGAUGGCCCACUGCACCCAUGUGGGAGACCUGGAAGAACCUCCUGGCUUUGGGUCAGCUCAACUCUGGCCAUUGUGGCCAUUUUUUGAGUGAACUGGCAGAUGGAAGACCUCUAUCUCUGUCUCUACCUCUUUCUGUAACGCUAACUUUCAAAUAAAUGAAAUAAAUCUUUAAAAAUUCUGUCUUUCAUAAAGUAGUUUUGUUUGCUUGUUUUUGGUUGAGGGAGGAGAAAAGAAACACAGAGAACAGAACAUAUUUGUGAAGGGAUGAUAAAUACCAUGAGGAAAGUGACUACAGAUUAGUGGAAAUGUGAGGGGUUGUCAAAGAAGAACUUUUUGGUAAGAUGACAUUAAAUCAGAGACUUGCAGGAAGUGACAGAACAAGUCACACAAAUGCUUUAGAGAAGAUCAUUUUUGGGCAGAGGAAGGAGCCUGUGCAAAAGCCUUGGUUGUGAGUGUGUUCAUUUUGGAAGCAGCAGGAAGGACAGUGAAGGGAAGUGUACAAGGGGAGAUUAGCAGAUGAGAAAAGAGAGAAGAGUAAUGGGUAGAUUAGAUUUAAUAGGGCCUUAUAACAGCUUUGGAUAGUGGUUUGAGUGUAGUGGGAGCCACUGUGUUUGAGAUAGGCUUAGUGGAGGAGCAGGAGUGUGUUUAGUGUUAAGUUGUAUAAGGUUUUUAAUUUUUUUUUAUUUGACAGACAAAGUUAGACAGAGACAGAGAGAGAGAGAGAGAGAGAGAGAGAGAGAAAGGUCUUCUUUUUUCCGUUGGUUCACCCCCCAAGUGGCCGCUAUGGCUGGUGCUGAGCUGAUCCGAAGCCAGGAGCCAGGUGCUUCCUCCUGGUCUCCCAUGCAGGUGCAGGGGCCCAAGGGCUUGUACCAUCCUCCACUGCCUUCCCGAGUUUUUGCUAAUAACAAUAGGUAGAAUUAAAAUGGAGAGAAUGAUCCAACAUGGGAAGUAGGCCACAUAGCAGACUCAUAGAAUGGCAAAUGCCCUAAACAGCAAUCUGGCCUCAGAAUCAGCUGUUAAGGCAUUUGGAUCUGGCUAAAAAGCCCAUGAGAGCAUUUCAGGCAUGGAAAGCCAAGACACUGUGGCAAAAAAAAGGACCUAAGUGAAAGAUCUCUGUGAGUGAGAUCCCAGUAAAAAGAAGGGGAGAUUAAAGAAGGAGGUACUUUUCUCUGAAAGGAGGAGAGAAUUUCCACUUUGCUUUUGGCUCUGUCUAAAUACUGACGGAAUCUGU